rnacentral:rRNA from 1 species
GAUCAUGGCUCAGGAUGAACGCUAGCUACAGGCUUAACACAUGCAAGUCGAGGGGCAGCAUGAACUUAGCUUGCUAAGUUUGACGGCGACCGGCGCACGGGUGAGUAACACGUAUCCAACCUGCCGAUGACUCGGGGAUAGCCUUUCGAAAGAAAGAUUAAUACCCGAUGGCAUAAUUCUUCCGCAUGGUAGAACUAUUAAAGAAUUUCGGUUAUCGAUGGGGAUGCGUUCCAUUAGGCAG